rnacentral:rRNA from 1 species
AUUGAACGCUGGCGGCAGGCCUAACACAUGCAAGUCGAGCGGAUCGUCGGACGGGUGAGUAUUGCCUAGGAAUCUGCCUGGUCGUGGGGGAUAACGUCCGGAAACGGGCGCUAAUACCGCAUAUUUUCCGAUGAGCCUAGGUCGGUUUAGCAAGUUGGUGGGGUAAAGGCCUACCAAGGUGACGAUCCGUAACUGGUCUGAGAGGAUGAUCAGUCACACUGGAACUGAGACACGGUCCAGACUCCUACGGGAGGCAGCAGUGGGGAAUAUUGGACAAUGGGCGAAAGCCUGAUCCAGCCAUGCCGCGUGUGUGAAGAAGGUCUUCGGGUUGUAAAGCACUUUAAGUUGGGAGGCGUUACCAACAGAAUAAGCACCGGCUAACUUCGUGCCAGCAGCCGCGGUAAUAC